rnacentral:misc_RNA from 1 species
AAGUCGUAACAAGGUAACCGUAGGUGAACCUGCGGUUGGAUCAUUAAUGAAUGAUUAAAGAGUUUAUUCUCUUUAAGCUUUAAAAGUUGGGUAUUAAGUCUUUUAUAGACUUUUUACUCAAUGAACCUUGUGUGAACAUGUUAACUGUCUUUGGUGAGAGUUUUUAUGAUAUUCAUUUAUCAUGGCUCACCAAAAUAUAUGAUUAAACAUUUGUUUUUAUAUAAAAAGUCUUGAAUUCAAUAUAUUUAAAUUGAAAACAACUUUUGACAACGGAUCUCUUGGCUCUC